AAUCCCUUAACGAGGAUCUAUUGGAGGGCAAGUCUGGUGCCAGCAGCCGCGGUAAUUCCAGCUCCAAUAGCGUAUAUUAAUUUUGUUGCGGUUAAAAAGCUCGUAGUUGGAUCUCGGUUUCGGGCGAGUGGUGUACCUUGCGGUAUUUACUGUUUGCCCGGACGAUUUUGUUGGUUCGUUUAUGGUUCUCUUAACCGAGUGCCAUAAGUGGCCAGCACGUUUACUUUGAAAAAAUUGGAGUGCUCAAAGCAGGCGCUACAGCCUGAACAUUAGUGCAUGGAAUAAUGGAAUAGGAUCUCGGUUCUAUUUCGUUGGCUUUCGGAGUCGAGGUAAUGAUUAAUAGGGACAGACGGGGGCAUUCGUACUGCGACGUUAGAGGUGAAAUUCUUGGAUCGUCGCAAGACGAACUACUGCGAAAGCAUUUGCCGAGAAUGUUUUCAUUAAUCAAGAACGAAAGUUAGAGGUUCGAAGGCGAUCAGAUACCGCCCUAGUUCUAACCAUAAACGAUGUCGACCGGCGAUCCGUUAUCGUUAACUGAAUGACUUAACGGGCAGCCUCCGGGAAACCAGAGUGUUUGGAUUCCGGGGGAAGUAUGGUUGCAAAGCUGAAACUUAAAGGAAUUGACGGAAGGGCACCACCAGGAGUGGAGCCUGCGGCUUAAUUUGACACAACACGGGAAAUCUCACCAGGCCCGGACACCGGAAGGAUUGACAGAUUGAGAGCUCUUUCUUGAUUCGGUGGGUGGUGGUGCAUGGCCGUUCUUAGUUGGUGGAGCGAUUUGUCUGGUUAAUUCCGAUAACGAACGAGACUCUGGCCUACUAACUAGACGUUAGAUCCCUUUGUGGGUCUAUCGCAGCUUCUUAGAGGGACGGGCGGCGUUUAGCCGCACGAGAUUGAGCAAUAACAUGUCUGUGAUGCCCUUAGAUGUUCUGGGCUGCACGCGCGCUACACUGAAGGAAUCAGCGUGUGUUCCCUACCCGAAAGGGUUGGGAAACCCGUUGAACCUCCUUCGUGAUGGGGAUUGGGGAUUGCAAUUAUUCCCCAUGAACGAGGAAUUCCCAGUAGGCGCGAGUCAUAAGCUUGCGUCGAUUACGUCCCUGCCCUUUGUACACACCGCCCGUCGCUACUACCGAUCGAGUGAUUUAGUGAGGCCUUCGGACUGGUCUUCAGUAUGGCUUUCGGGUCGUGUUGGAGUACCGGAAAGAUGACCAAACUUGAUCACUUAGAGGAAGUAAAAGUCGUAACAAGGUUUCCGUAGGUGAACCUGCGGAAG
rnacentral:rRNA from 1 species